rnacentral:rRNA from 1 species
UACGUAGGGUGCAAGCGUUAAUCGGAAUUACUGGGCGUAAAGCGUGCGCAGGCGGUUUUGUAAGUCUGAUGUGAAAUCCCCGGGCUCAACCUGGGAAUUGUAUUGGAGACUGCAAGGCUAGAAUCUGGCAGAGGGGGGUAGAAUUCCACGUGUAGCAGUGAAAUGCGUAGAGAUGUGGAGGAACACCGAUGGCGAAGGCAGCCCCCUGGGUCAAGAUUGACGCUCAUGCACGAAAGCGUGGGGAGCGAACAGG